rnacentral:rRNA from 1 species
GACGAACGCUGGCGGCGUGCCUAAUACAUGCAAGUCGAACGCUGAAGGAGGAGCUUGCUUCUCUGGAUGAGUUGCGAACGGGUGAGUAACGCGUAGGUAACCUGCCUGGUAGCGGGGGAUAACUAUUGGAAACGAUAGCUAAUACCGCAUAAUAGUAGAUGUCGCAUGACAUUUGCUUAAAAGGUGCAAUUGCAUCACUACCAGAUGGACCUGCGUUGUAUUAGCUAGUUGGUGAGGUAACGGCUCACCAAGGCAACGAUACAUAGCCGACCUGAGAGGGUGAUCGGCCACACUGGGACUGAGACACGGCCCAGACUCCUACGGGAGGCAGCAGUAGGGAAUCUUCGGCAAUGGACGGAAGUCUGACCGAGCAACGCCGCGUGAGUGAAGAAGGUUGUCGGAUCGUAAAGCUCUGUUGUAAGAGAAGAACGAGUGUGAGAGUGGAAAGUUCACACUGUGACGGUAUCUUACCAGAAAGGGACGGCUAACUACGUG